rnacentral:rRNA from 1 species
UAGGGAAUCUUCGGCAAUGGACGAAAGUCUGACCGAGCAACGCCGCGUGAGUGAAGAAGGUUUUCGGAUCGUAAAACUCUGUUGUUAGAGAAGAACAAGGACGUUAGUAACUGAACGUCCCCUGACGGUAUCUAACCAGAAAGCCACGGCUAACUACGUGCCAGCAGCCGCGGUAAUACGUAGGUGGCAAGCGUUGUCCGGAUUUAUUGGGCGUAAAGCGAGCGCAGGCGGUUUCUUAAGUCUGAUGUGAAAGCCCCCGGCUCAACCGGGGAGGGUCAUUGGAAACUGGGGAACUUGAGUGCAGAAGAGGAGAGUGGAAUUCCAUGUGUAGCGGUGAAAUGCGCAGAUAUAUGAAGGAACACCAGUGGCGAAGGCGGCUCUCUGGUCUGUAACUGACGCUGAGGCUCGAAAGCGUGGGGAGCAAACAGG